UGCCUACGGGAGGCAGCAGUGGGGGAUAUUGCACAAUGGGGGGAACCCUGAUGCAGCGACGCCGCGUGAACGAAGAAAUAUUUCGGUAUGUAAAGUUCUAUCAGCAGGGAAGAAAAUGACGGUACCUGAAGAAGAAGCCCCGGCUAACUACGUGCCAGCAGCCGCGGUAAUACGUAGGGGGCAAGCGUUAUCCGGAUUUACUGGGUGUAAAGGGGGCGCAGACGGCGAUGCAAGCCAGGAGUGAAAGCCCGGGGCCCAACCCCGGGACUGCUCUUGGAACUGCGUGGCUAGAGUGCAGGAGGGGG
rnacentral:rRNA from 1 species